GACGAACGCUGGCGGCGUGCUUAACACAUGCAAGUCGAGCGGUAAGGCCCUUUCGGGGGUACACGAGCGGCGAACGGGUGAGUAACACGUGGGUGACCUGCCCUCAGCGUCUGGGAUAAGCCCUGGGAAACCCGGGUCUAAUACUGGAUAUGACUCCAUGACGCAUGUUGUGGGGUGGAAAGCCUUGUGCGGCUGAGGAUGGGCCCGCGGCCUA
rnacentral:rRNA from 1 species